AUGGCGACCACUCCUCUCGCGACCGCCUCUCCCUAUCCAUUCCCCUCUCUGCUCUCCAAAACCCUAAACCCCACCUCCACCUCCAAGCUCUCUCCUCCGCACUCCCUCUCCCUCUCCCUCCUCACCACCCCGGCGCCCCUCCUCCUCCCCCGCAGGCAGGGCCGGCGGCAGCGUGACAUCUCGGCGGCGUACGGUGACGGCGACAUGGACGACGACUUCGGCGGUGCGGGCGACUUCGACCUCGACGGAGACGACGGUGUGGGGGACGACGACGACCUUGACAACGAGCAGGACUACGACGUCGACUAUGACCGCCUCCUCGCCCCCGUCAAGCCUCGGCCGCACCUUUCCGGGGUUGGCAGCGGAGGCGAGGAAGGGGAGGGGGACAUCGCCAUGGUCGCGGCCGAGAGCUUCGUGUCCACUGGGGCGUCCGCCUCCGACACCGUCGUCGACUACACCAUCGACGAAGGUGAGUUUCACAAGAUUCGCCUGCUCCACUGCGACUUCUUCAUCCGCAAGGUGCCCGACCCUGACCAAGACGUCUACGACUUCCGAGAGAUGUAUGUCACACCGCCUGACACCGACAUCUACUCAAUUCCAAGGGUUCUUGCCCCGAUGCCACAAAAGUAUGUGAGGUGCGCGAAGAAAAACUUUGGCCGCUACCAUGUAAGUGAGCCACCGGUUGAGCAUCUGCGUGAUCCCCUGUACAAGACAGAGAGGGAGAUUAUGAAGGUUUUCUUAACAAAACACUACAGAAACAGGCGGUUCAGCGAUACAGAUUUUUUCCUUGAUUUUGAGGAGAUUUAUGUCAUCGACUCAAAAACAAGGUCAAUCACAAGGGCAAAAGUAGUGGUGAACGUCCCUGAAGGCAAAAGGAGAGAUAGGAGAAAUGACCUGCUACUCAUACGGGACGGUGGCGAAUCUUUCAGAAUAACUGACAAGUCCCAAAGAGACGACGCCACCACCAUCAUCCAAAGAGAAGAGUGGACGAAAUCGAGACAGGACGUGGAGAAGCAUUUCCGGAAGCUCAGAGAUUUUGACUACUCGAAUUGGUUCUGA
rnacentral:rRNA from 1 species